UACGUAGGGGGCGAGCGUUGUCCGGAAUGACUGGGCGUAAAGGGUGCGUAGGCGGCCCGAGAGGUCCUGGGUGAAAGGCCCCGGCUCAACCGGGGAGGGCCCCAGGAAACCGGCGGGCUAGAGGGCUGGAGAGGGCCGCGGAAUUCCCGGUGUAGCGGUGAAAUGCGUAGAUAUCGGGAAGAACACCAGUGGCGAAGGCGACAUACUGGGUCAUGACUGACGCUGAGGCUCGAAAGCGUGGGGAGCAAACAGG
rnacentral:rRNA from 1 species